CAACUAUGAACCUGAAGAGUCUCCCACCACUGAAAGUUACAACAGCACUGACUUAUUCAGUGCCGUCCUUCCUGAUCCUUCAGAUAACGGACCUGAAGAUAAUGAACAAAAUGUUGUCCCAGGCAGUCUUCAAACAGAGGAAGAAGAAACUAUUUCUUUUGGAGUUCAAACAAAUGUUCCAAAUCUUUAUUCCUCUUGUAGAGUUCCAGAUGUGCCUGUGGGCCUUAGAGAAGCUUUUAUCACCAGGCACCUCCUUAAUAUUGGUCGAGCACCAUUUGCCCCAUUUCCUUCACCCACUAGAGAAACUGAAUGUUUACCCACCUUUAAAACAGAUGAGACUCCUACAACCAGUGUUUAUAUGAACAACACUGAAGAUGACGAGUUUCCAGCUAGUGAUAGUUAUAGCACUAACUUAUUCAAUGGUGACAUUCCUGAAUCUUCCGAUAUUAAUGGAUCUGAAGAUGUUGUACCAGACAGUGUCCAAAGAGAGCAAGAAGAAGCUAGUUUUUCCCAACUUCAAACAUCUCUUUCAGCUCUUUUUUCUGUUAUUACAGCUCCAGUUGACUCUGUGGGCCAAGCAACAUUUUAUGUCACCAGGCAACUCGUUAAUUUUGGUCAAGCAAUAUUUGCCUUAAUCACUAGUGAAACUGAACGUUCACCCACUUUUGAAACAACUGAGGUUGCUACAAACGAAUGUUUCUCUAAUUAAUUUUGAACGUGACGAGUCUUUGAGUAAUGAGAUUUACAGCAUUGCUCCAGCUGUGUCUGUGGGCCGAAGAAUACAUUUUGUCAGCAGGCACGUCCUUAAUAAUGGUCCAGUGCCUUUUACCUUACCCACCUCUGAAAUAACUGAGGUUCCUACAACAAGUGUUUCCAUAAACAACUGUGGACAUGAAGUGUCUCCCAACAAUGAAAGUUACAGCAUUGAUGUAUUCAAUGUUGGCCUUCCUGACUCUUCAGAUAGCAGAUCUGAAGACAAUGAACAAAAUGUUGCCCAAGGAACUCUUCAAGGACAGGACGAAGAAACUAUUGUUUCCAGAGUUUACACAAACCUUUCAGGUUUUUAUUCCUUCAUUAGAAUGCCAAUUGUGUCUGUGGCCCGAAGAAUAUUUUUUGUGAACAGGCACAUCUUUAAUAUUUUUCGAGUGCCUUUUACCUCACCCACCAAUGUUGGCCUUCCUGACUCUUCAGAUAACAGAUCUGAAGAGAAUGAACAAAAUAUUGUCCAAAGAAGUCGUCAAAGAGAGGAUGAAGAAACUGUUCUUUCCAGAGUUCACAGAAAUCUUUCAGCCUUUUAUCCCUUUAUUAGAGCUCUAGUUGUGUCUGUGGGCCAAGGAGCAAUUUUUCCCAUCAGGCACAUCCUUAAUAUUUGUCUAGCACCAUUUACCUUAUUGAACAAUCUGUUAACAGCAAUUGUUCAAUAUGUGUUUUCCCUUGCCCAGACAGGAAUUUCAGCCCUGAAUCAAACAAUCAGAAGACUUUUAAGUCCAAUUUGUAUAAUAGGUACAGUAAUAUGUGUGAUUUUUGUAAUUGUAAUUUUUACUUUUAUACCAUUUUUCAUACACUACAUCGUAAAUCACUAACUUAACAAACAAACAGCACAUGCUGUUGCAUCAUUUUUCUCUUAAAAUUCAGUUUCCUUAGCAUAAAAUUACAUCACAAUUAUGCCCCCAGCCAGUCACAGCAGAAGGCUGCCCCUCCCUGAGUCUGGUUCUGCUGAAGGUUUCUUCCUCUUAAAAGGGAGUUUUUCCUUCCCACCGUCGCCUUAGUGCUUGCUCAUAGGGGAUCGUUUGAUUGCUGGGGUUUUCUCUCUAAUACUGUGGGGUUUUAAGCUUACAGUACAAAGAGCUUUAAAGUGCCUGUUCUAACACAGCAUUAUUAAAUAGACUUUAAAUGGCUUCAACUGAAAAAACAUUACUUAAUAAAAAAAAUAAAUCAAUAAAUAAUGGUGUGUGUUUGUUUCAUUUUCUAUACCAGGGUAACUGCUAAAACUUAGUGGGUUAUAAUUUAUGUAGCUUUUAACAGAUUAUUGUUGUUUCAAAUGUGACUGUGCUGAGUGGCCGUG
ensembl:lncRNA